CGGCGCGCGGGGGGCGCGAGAGGGCGCCCGGGACCGGCCGGGGGUGGUGGGCGCAGCUUCCGGGGCGCUGGCCUGGUCGCUGCGAUCUCCUGGGAGGGCGCUCCUUUCCCUCCUUGGCCUUUCGUCUCUCUGUUCUCCAGUUCAGCCCUGAACUGAACCCUGUUUCGGCUUUGGCGGUCGGUCUGUCUGAAGAGAGGCUGGCGUUUCCGCUAUUCGGUUUGGGCGCCGCACGAUAGCGAACGACCCUUCUGUCAAGACCGGCGGAAGAAUUGGAAAACCAGAGCGCGGAGGAUUCAGCGCGUCACAUUCGUUCCCAUUAAGUAUCCAGGCAGUACAGUGCGGAGUAGUGACUCAGGACUAGACUGAAAAAUCGCUUUCCUAAUCUAUCAGCUGGUCUUCCCGGGCUCCCUAAUCUGCCCACGCGGGAGGGUUUCCCUGAGGUUAGAAGAGAGAUUUUUGCUUUCAAAAAAGGAGAAAAUCUUACUGUUGUUCACAAUAUGUACACCCGAGAAGGAAAAACCCUGCAAUAAAAAUUUUCCUCAAGAGCAUACACACACACACAAAACCAUGCACUAAGGCUACUACUUGCUGAAGACUGAAUGUUACCUGAUGCCAAGAUGCUGGCUUGGAGAUUUGGCGGUAAACCUCUACUCUCCCUAAUGGACAAGACAGUGUGUUGACAUCUGAGGUCCAUAACAGACGGCGCACAAAACAUGAGAAACUCGUGAGCGAUCCUUAACAGAUGGCGCAAGAAACACAAGAAAACUUGUGAGCAGUACGAAAGGUGUUAGGCAAGUAGUCAAGGUUAACAUCACCAGUGAUGUCAUGUGGGUAUCAUGUACCUGCUGAUAUAUGAGAAGGGCACUUCAUUUAUGUGUUUUACCCCAAAUCCAUAACCCCAGUUUAAUCAUGAGAAAAACAACAGACAAACCCAAAUUUAGAGACAUUCUACAAAAUACCUCACCAUUACUCCUCAAAAUUGUCAAGGUCAUGAAAACAAAGACCAAAGAGCUGUCAAAGGCCAGAGGACACUGAGGAGACAUGAUGACUAAAUGCAACAUGGCAUCCUGGACCGCAUCCAGGACCAGAAAAAAGAAAAUCCAAAUAGUCUGGAGUUUUGGUAACAGCAACAUACCAGUGCUGGUUUCUUCGUUUUGAUAAAUGUCCUAUGGUAAUACAAGAUGUUAACUCUAGGGGGAACUGGGUGAGAGAUACAUGGAACUUGUGAAAUCUGCAACUUUUCUGAUACUACAAGGAUACAAAUGAAGAGAAGCAUGGGGCGCGGUAUGGGGGAAGGGGUGCAGAGCUUCCGUGCCCUCCCCAGGUGUGCCACCCUCCAGGAACCUCCACGUGUUCAGCUAUCCAGAGGUCACUUAUUUCUUUGAUAUGUGAAUCAUUUAAUGACUUGUUGAUACACAGUGAUUUGUUUUUGUCCCCAAACUAACAGAUUAUCAUUUUUCCCUUUGAGGGACAUAUGUGACAUUUGAUACAGUGAGCAUGUGGUGUCCUCUCUCCCUAAAACCACUGGAUAUGGAGCUUAAGCCUACUGAAUAGUAAAGGCCAUCUUACAUAAAUCCAAUAAACUGAGACCAACCAGUGGUAGAGGCUGUUUUAAUGCAUUGUUAUCCCUUAUUGAGCAAUUUUUCUCUCAUGACAAGCAAGCAGCCUCAAGCUGUUGAAUAAAGACACUAUGUCUAGCCAGGCAUGGUGGCUCACGCCUGUAAUCCUAGCACUUGGGGAGGCUGAGGCGGUCGGAUUGCUCAAG